rnacentral:rRNA from 1 species
ACUCCUACGGAGGCGAGCAGUGGGAUAUUGGCACAAUGGCGCAAGGCCUGACUGCAGCCAUGCCGCGUGUGUGAAGAAGGCCUUCGGGUUGUAAAGCACUUUCAGUCGUGAGGAAGGUAGUGUAGUUAAUAGCUGCAUUAUUUGACGUUAGCGACAGAAGAAGCACCGGCUAACUCCGUGCCAGCAGCCGCGGUAAUACGGAGGGUGCGAGCGUUAAUCGGAAUUACUGGGCGUAAACGCGCAUGCAGGUGGUUUGUUAAGUCAGAUGUGAAAGCCCGGGGCUCAACCUCGGAAUUGCAUUUGAAACUGGCAGACUAGAGUACUGUAGAGGGGGGUAGAAUUCAGGUGUAGCGGUGAAAUGCGUAGAGAUCUGAAGGAAUACCGGUGGCGAAGGCGGCCCCCUGGACAGAUACUGACACUCAGAUGCGAAAGCGUGGGAGCAAACAGGAUUAGAUA